GGUGUGCCUCCAUGCUAGAUAUGUACAUGUUUUUAUCUGUGUUUACUUUUGCAUGAAUAUUGUUCUUUUUAUUUUCUUAUUUUUGCUUUAUUUUUCUUUAAAUACUGUUUAAUCAUUAUUGAUAACACUUUAUUUCUAAGAAGCAGUUAAAUUCAGCUGUUAGUUUAUAUUAGUUGAAUUUCACGUGUAAAUAAAAUAAAAACACGUGUUAAAAGAAAAAAAUUCUCUUUCCACACGAACUGUUUUGUUUGGACACAAUUUUCAAUAUGGAGUGUAUUUUUUUUUCAAUUUUUUGAAUGAAUUUUUUGAAUGAAUUUUUCUUCUAGAGGUCUCUGUGAAUUUUUUCAUUCUCACUUCUCAAAAGUAUGCAUUGUAGCUUUGCGCUAUAUUUGUCACAAUUUAGUUAGAUUAUGUCGAUCAUAUGCGUACGUGGUUGGAAUUCCCAGAAUUAUGCGUAGAGCAAAGACGUAAUGUAUAUUUUACGCAUUUAGUUUGGUUUUUCAAAGUAUAACUUAUUUUCGUGUAACAUAUUUAAUGAAGUAAAAUGUCUAAGCACGAAGUAAAUUCUUAAGCGAACUCUAACAAGAAUUUUUUGAUAAUUAUACUUUUUAGUUGCUUUUUUAAGUCUGGAAAUAAUCUACUAUUUUUUCAUUCAGCCAUUAAAUGUCAAUUUGAAAUAAGGAAUAUUAACCAAUGCGUACAUUUCUAGAAACAAUGUAUCCUAAUUUUUCUUUAGGCUCGUUCAUUGAAGAUGAGAACAGGGACAAUUGCGACACACAAGAAAUGGUCACCAUGAGACUAGGGCGAACGGCUUUGCGGGAUGCUUCCGACCACUAGCGUUACCUCAAAACGAGUAAAUAGAUUGUUUCUAAUAUUUCCAAAGGGCAUAUGAUAUGUUGCUACAUAUAGAUUUAUGCAGAAGUUCCUAAUUUCCAAAGCGGCUUUUCAUUAUGUCCUGGGGAAAAUGAUAUGAGUGGAGAUAUUAGGAGCACAUAUAUACUGCCUGCGUUACGGCUAGCCAUGACUCUACAGUUGUCGGUUUCAGGAGGAUAGCAAUGGCUGACGUGUAACGACCAUACCGUAAGUAUAGCACAAAGCACGUUAUUAACUGUUUUAUCAGAGGUGUUACAAGAGUUGAAAACGAAACUGCGGUGUGAAUGCAAUGGAUCAUAAAUAGGAAUGCGAAGGUGUGCCACCGGAAAUUCUAGGGAGUAAUUGAAGAUUUUGUAGCAUUAACAUGUGUGGAGGCACUCCGUUACAUGGAAAGCCAAUCGGCUGGGCAUGAUAGCAAUGUUUUGCUGCUUGCAACCACCUAGAGGAUGUUGCAUGCACUUAUGCGCUUCACUUGAGAUUAUGUUAUUUUUUUUCUUCUACACCGACUUAUAUUACUACCUCCUGUCAUGCGCAAGUAACGUUAUAAUUAUUUUGUUAUUGUCACGCAUUACAGCCCACUUCGUAAUAAAUCGUCAUAAAGGUUGAUAUUUGAAAUAUUAAUGACAGUAGUCGUGAUUGUAUCUCUCGUACAUUUUUGAAAUCAUGUGAUGAGUGCCAUUCGUAUGUGUUCCAAAAUUUAUUUAUCCUAACAUAAAAGAUGAGUGAAGGUAUUCCCUUUUUCUGUGAUUUUUUAUUAUUAUUAUUAUUAUUAUUAUUAUUAUUAUUAUUAUUAUUACUAUAUCAGUUACAGAAACAUGUUAAACAUUGUUUUUGUCCUUUUUGUUAGAUAUUAUUUGGAUGAUAAACAAAGAAAAAGCUUUUUUAUGAAUUAUUAUUUUUAAUUUUAUUAUGGUGAAAAUCUGAAAAGAAAAACAACACGAUUUUAUUUCUAAUAAAAAAAUGAACUUAAGCUUAGAACAUUCUAAUGAAACGAGCAAAAAUGAUUAGAUAAAUUGCUACGUAAACAAAAACUUAAUACACUAAAUUAUGUAAAUAAUAGUAUUAAUAAUUAUUAAUCUUACUUAUAUAUACUUACAUCGUAUAAACAAGGUUAACUACAGUCGACAUAAAAUCAAUAUACUAAGAAUAAUGAAAACAAAAGAAAUGAGAAACUCCUUAACUUUGCUUCGCCGCGAGCGCGUUCAUUAUUCAAUAUAAAUACAAAAGUUUCUAUGUUAUUAUCGUUACUUUAUAAUUAAUGUUACUUUGUUACAUG